rnacentral:rRNA from 1 species
CGGAUUGUAGGCUGAAACUCGCCUACAUAAAGCUGGAGUUACUAGUAAUCGCAGAUCAGAAUGUCGCGGUGAAUACGUUCCCGGGUCUUGUACACACCGCCCGUCACACCAUGGGAGUCGGAUAUGCCCGAAGUCAGUGACCCAACCAUAUGGAGGGAGCUGCCGAAGGUGGAGCCGAUAACUGGGGUGAAGUCGUAACAAGGUACC